rnacentral:rRNA from 1 species
UAAAAAAACCACCGUCCGAUCCCUAGUCGGCAUAGUUUAUGGUUAAGACUACGACGGUAUCUGAUCGUCUUCGAUCCCCUAACUUUCGUUCUUGAUUAAUGAAAACAUCCUUGGCAAAUGCUUUCGCAGUAGUUAGUCUUCAAUAAAUCCAAGAAUUUCACCUCUGACAAUUGAAUACUAAUGCCCCCAACUAUCCCUAUUAAUCAUUACGUCAAUCCCAGAAACCAACAAAAUAGGAUCGAACGUCCUAUUUCAUUAUUCCAUGCUAAUGUAUUCAAGCGUUAGCUUGCUUUAAACACUCUAAUUUUUUCAAAGUAACAGUCCAAAUUCCCCAAAACACCAAAUUAAUGGCAUUAAGAUUCGUCAGAAAGGAGAAACCAAUAAUACCAGUACGUACAAAAGCACGACCAGUAAACCGGUCUCGAAAUUCAACUACGAGCUUUUUAACUGCAACAACUUUAAUAUACGCUAUUGGAGCUGG